GGAGUGGGGAAUAACGCUGGGAAACCGGCGCUAAUACCGCAUAUUCCCGAGAGGGGAAAGCAGCAAUGCGCUCGAGGAGGAGUCCGCGGCCGAUUAGCUAGUUGGUAGGGUAAAAGCCUACCAAGGCUAUGAUCGGUAGCCGGCCUGAGAGGGCACACGGCCACACUGGCACUGAAACACGGGCCAGACUCCUACGGGAGGCAGCAGUGGGGAAUCUUGCACAAUGGGGGAAACCCUGAUGCAGCGACGCCGCGUGAGCGAUGAAGCCCUUCGGGGUGUAAAGCUCUUUCGGCAGGGAAGAUUAUGACGGUACCUGCAGAAGCAGCUGCGGCUAACUACGUGCCAGCAGCCGCGGUAAUACGUAGGCAGCAAGCGUUGUUCGGAGUUACUGGGCGUAAAGGGUGUGUAGGUGGCCUGUUAAGUUCCGUGUGAAAUCUCCCGGCUCAACCGGGAGGGUGCGCGGAAAACUGGCGGGCUAGAGUACGGGAUGGGAGAGUAGAAUUCCUGGUGUAGCGGUGAAAUGCGUAGAUAUCAGGAGGAAUACCGGUGGUGUAGACGGCUCUCUGGACCGUAACUGACACUGAGACACGAAAGCGUGGGUAGCAAACAGGAUUAGAUACCCUGGUAGUCCACGCCCUAAACGAUGCAUAUUUGGUGUAGGCAGUUCAUUCUGUCUGUGCCGGAGCUAACGCGUUAAAUAUGCCGCCUGGGGAGUACAGUCGCAAGACUGAAACUCAAAGGAAUUGACGGAAUCGAAUU
rnacentral:rRNA from 1 species